rnacentral:rRNA from 1 species
AGUGAACGCUGGCGGUAGGCCUAACACAUGCGAGUCGAACGGCAGCACAGUAAGAGCUUGCUCUUACGGGUGGCGAGUGGCGGACGGGUGAGGAAUACAUCGGAAUCUACUUUUUCGUGGGGGAUAACGUAGGGAAACUUACGCUAAUACCGCAUACGACCUACGGGUGAAAGCAGGGGAUCUUCGGACCUUGCGCGAUUGAAUGAGCCGAUGUCGGAUUAGCUAGUUGGCGGGGUAAAGGCCCACCAAGGCGACGAUCCGUAGCUGGUCUGAGAGUAUGAUCAGCCACACUGGAACUGAGACACGGUCCAGACUCCUACGGGAGGCAGCAGUGGGGAAUAUUGGACAAUGGGCGCAAGCCUGAUCCAGCCAUACCGCGUGGGUGAAGAAGGCCUUCGGGUUGUAAAGCCCUUUUGUUGGGAAAGAAAAGCAGCAGGUUAAUACCCCGCUGUUCUGACGGUACCCAAAGAAUAAGCACCGGCUAACUUCGUG